AUUGAACGCUGGCGGCAUGCCUUACACAUGCAAGUCGAACGGUAACGGGCCUUCGGGUGCCGACGAGUGGCGAACGGGUGAGUAAUGCAUCGGAACGUACCUUUCAGUGGGGGAUAACGUAGCGAAAGUUACGCUAAUACCGCAUAUUCUGUGAGCAGGAAAGCAGGGGAUCGCAAGGCCUUGCGCUGAUUGAGCGGCCGGUGUCAGAUUAGCUAGUUGGUGAGGUAAAGGCUCACCAAGGCGACGAUCUGUAGCGGGUCUGAGAGGAUGAUCCGCCACACUGGAACUGAGACACGGUCCAGACUCCUACGGGAGGCAGCAGUGGGGAAUUUUGGACAAUGGGGGCAACCCUGAUCCAGCCAUGCCGCGUGAGUGAAGAAGGCCUUCGGGUUGUAAAGCUCUUUCGGCCGGGAAGAAAUCGUAUGGGCUAAUACCCUGUGCGGAUGACGGUACCGGCAUAAGAAGCACCGGCUAACUACGUGCCAGCCGCCGCCGUAACAC
rnacentral:rRNA from 1 species